rnacentral:rRNA from 1 species
GGUUAAGCGACUAAGCGUACACGGUGGAUGCCCUGGCAGUCAGAGGCGAUGAAGGACGUGCUAAUCUGCGAUAAGCGUCGGUAAGGUGAUAUGAACCGUUAUAACCGGCGAUUUCCGAAUGGGGAAACCCAGUGUGUUUCGACACACUAUCAUUAACUGAAUCCAUAGGUUAAUGAGGCGAACCGGGGGAACUGAAACAUCUAAGUACCCCGAGGAAAAGAAAUCAACCGAGAUUCCCCCAGUAGCGGCGAGCGAACGGGGAGGAGCCCAGAGCCUGAAUCAGUGUGUGUGUUAGUGGAAGCGUCUGGAAAGGCGCGCGAUACAGGGUGACAGCCCCGUACACAAAAAUGCACAUAUUGUGAGCUCGAUGAGUAGGGCGGGACACGUGGUAUCCUGUCUGAAUAUGGGGGGACCAUCCUCCAAGGCUAAAUACUCCUGACUGACCGAUAGUGAACCAGUACCGUGAGGGAAAGGCGAAAAGAACCCCGGCGAGGGGAGUGAAAAAGAACCUGAAACCGUGUACGUACAAGCAGUGGGAGCCUCUUUUAUGGGGUGACUGCGUACCUUUUGUAUAAUGGGUCAGCGACUUAUAUUCUGUAGCAAGGUUAACCGAAUAGGGGAGCCGAAGGGAAACCGAGUCUUAACUGGGCGUUAAGUUGCAGGGUAUAGACCCGAAACCCGGUGAUCUAGCCAUGGGCAGGUUGAAGGUUGGGUAACACUAACUGGAGGACCGAACCGACUAAUGUUGAAAAAUUAGCGGAUGACUUGUGGCUGGGGGUGAAAGGCCAAUCAAACCGGGAGAUAGCUGGUUCUCCCCGAAAGCUAUUUAGGUAGCGCCUCGUGAAUUCAUCUCCGGGGGUAGAGCACUGUUUCGGCAAGGGGUCAUCCCGACUUACCAACCCGAUGCAAACUGCGAAUACCGGAGAAUGUUAUCACGGGAGACACACGGCGGGUGCUAACGUCCGUCGUGAAGAGGGAAACAACCCAGACCGCCAGCUAAGGUCCCAAAGUCAUGGUUAAGUGGGAAACGAUGUGGGAAGGCCCAGACAGCCAGGAUGUUGGCUUAGAAGCAGCCAUCAUUUAAAGAAAGCGUAAUAGCUCACUGGUCGAGUCGGCCUGCGCGGAAGAUGUAACGGGGCUAAACCAUGCACCGAAGCUGCGGCAGCGACGCUUAUGCGUUGUUGGGUAGGGGAGCGUUCUGUAAGCCUGUGAAGGUGUGCUGUGAGGCAUGCUGGAGGUAUCAGAAGUGCGAAUGCUGACAUAAGUAACGAUAAAGCGGGUGAAAAGCCCGCUCGCCGGAAGACCAAGGGUUCCUGUCCAACGUUAAUCGGGGCAGGGUGAGUCGACCCCUAAGGCGAGGCCGAAAGGCGUAGUCGAUGGGAAACAGGUUAAUAUUCCUGUACUUGGUGUUACUGCGAAGGGGGGACGGAGAAGGCUAUGUUGGCCGGGCGACGGUUGUCCCGGUUUAAGCGUGUAGGCUGGUUUUCCAGGCAAAUCCGGAAAAUCAAGGCUGAGGCGUGAUGACGAGGCACUACGGUGCUGAAGCAACAAAUGCCCUGCUUCCAGGAAAAGCCUCUAAGCAUCAGGUAACAUCAAAUCGUACCCCAAACCGACACAGGUGGUCAGGUAGAGAAUACCAAGGCGCUUGAGAGAACUCGGGUGAAGGAACUAGGCAAAAUGGUGCCGUAACUUCGGGAGAAGGCACGCUGAUAUGUAGGUGAAGUCCCUCGCGGAUGGAGCUGAAAUCAGUCGAAGAUACCAGCUGGCUGCAACUGUUUAUUAAAAACACAGCACUGUGCAAACACGAAAGUGGACGUAUACGGUGUGACGCCUGCCCGGUGCCGGAAGGUUAAUUGAUGGGGUUAGCGGUAACGCGAAGCUCUUGAUCGAAGCCCCGGUAAACGGCGGCCGUAACUAUAACGGUCCUAAGGUAGCGAAAUUCCUUGUCGGGUAAGUUCCGACCUGCACGAAUGGCGUAAUGAUGGCCAGGCUGUCUCCACCCGAGACUCAGUGAAAUUGAACUCGCUGUGAAGAUGCAGUGUACCCGCGGCAAGACGGAAAGACCCCGUGAACCUUUACUAUAGCUUGACACUGAACAUUGAGCCUUGAUGUGUAGGAUAGGUGGGAGGCUUUGAAGUGUGGACGCCAGUCUGCAUGGAGCCGGCCUUGAAAUACCACCCUUUAAUGUUUGAUGUUCUAACGUUGGCCCCUGAUCGGGGUUGCGGACAGUGUCUGGUGGGUAGUUUGACUGGGGCGGUCUCCUCCUAAAGAGUAACGGAGGAGCACGAAGGUUGGCUAAUCCUGGUCGGACAUCAGGAGGUUAGUGCAAUGGCAUAAGCCAGCUUGACUGCGAGCGUGACGGCGCGAGCAGGUGCGAAAGCAGGUCAUAGUGAUCCGGUGGUUCUGAAUGGAAGGGCCAUCGCUCAACGGAUAAAAGGUACUCCGGGGAUAACAGGCUGAUACCGCCCAAGAGUUCAUAUCGACGGCGGUGUUUGGCACCUCGAUGUCGGCUCAUCACAUCCUGGGGCUGAAGUAGGUCCCAAGGGUAUGGCUGUUCGCCAUUUAAAGUGGUACGCGAGCUGGGUUUAGAACGUCGUGAGACAGUUCGGUCCCUAUCUGCCGUGGGCGCUGGAGAACUGAGGGGGCUGCUCCUAGUACGAGAGGACCGGAGUGGACGCAUCACUGGUGUUCGGGUUGUCAUGCCAAUGGCACUGCCCGGUAGCUAAAUGCGGAAGAGAUAAGUGCUGAAAGCAUCUAAGCACGAAACUUGCCCCGAGAUGAGUUCUCCCUGACUCCUUGAGAGUCCUGAAGGAACGUUGAAGACGACGACGUUGAUAGGCCGGGUGUGUAAGCGCAGCGAUGCGUUGAGCUAACCGGUACUAAUGAACCGUGAGGCUUAACCUU